GACAGAGGGUGCAAACGUUGUUCGGAAUUACUGGGCGUAAAGCGCGUGUAGGCGGCUGCGCAAGUCGGAUGUGAAAUCCCACGGCUCAACCGUGGAAGUGCAUCCGAAACUGCAUCGCUGGAGUCUCGGAGAGGAAGGUGGAAUGCUUGGUGUAGAGGUGAAAUUCGUAGAUAUCAAGCAGAACACCUGCGGCGAAGGCGGCCUUCUGGACGAUGACUGACGCUGAGACGCGAAAGCGUGGGGAGCAAACAGG
rnacentral:rRNA from 1 species